UUCAACUAAACCCACAAUCCUCAAAAUUUAUUUUGACAUAAGUUUCAAAUAAAGUUGAAGCUCUUGUAAGGUAUGAAGAGAAGCUUAGUUGUGUAGAGGAAAUGCUCCUCACUUUGAAGAUCUCAUUUGAAGAGCCAAUGGAGAAUGCCCUGAAAUUAAAAAUAUUUCAGAGACAAAAGGAGGGAAUCACAGAGACACAAGAAAGAAAGGAUCUGCUCUUCUCUGUCUGCAGCCUUGGUGAGGCAGAGCAUCAUAGGAAGAGGAACAUGAAUUCCUGGGAGACAAGUACGGAUGCAGAGGAAGAGGAAAGACAAGACUUGAUCAUCUAAGAAAGAGUGCAGGCUCCUAAGUAAAGCUGUGAGAUGACAAGAGUUGUGCUAUUAUGUAUUAUUAUGUAUAGAAGGCCAGAGUUGAGAGUCUUGUUUCUUGAGGGUGAUGUCCUGGCAGAUACACCUGUGCACAUGUUGUAGUAUAAUCCAGUGCAUCUGUGCAUCCAUCUAUGCUGCAAAUGGCACGGGAGUGAUAUUUUUAAAAAAGAAGAAGAAAUGAAACCACCCUGUUGGAGAGCUUUAUAAUGCUCAGCUGCUCCCGAGGACUGCUUGGUGUAGCUACAGCAGGCAAAACAUCCCUCCCAUCUAGUCACUGGCACACAGCACUGCAAUCCAUUUAUGUGAGCACCUGGUUUAUCAGUUUGCCUGUGACAGAUCUUGGCACACCCUCUCCUCUGGCUGUAAAGCUUUACUGACUUGUGUGGUUUUUCUCCCACAAACUCUUGUCUGGCAUGGGAGGACUUGGAAUAGAUCAACUGUGGCUCUGGCAACAACAGGAAAGUACAUUUUAGAUAACCCUUUAUGGUGCAAGCUUUGUAGCCAUUUAAGGGCUUUUCUGUGGGGUUGGAGAAGAAGGGCUGUCCAUCAUCCAAAGUCUAUUGCUGUGGGAAGGGUGCCUGUGACUGCAAAGGUCUUUGGCAAAGGCCACAAGCAUCUGAAGGCUGCUCUGAGAAAUAGAUAUGGGCUCACAGUUCCCCACAGGCUACUGUGCAGAAGUGCGCAGUCUUCCACCGGUCAUCCCAGUGCAUCAUUCAUUAAACAUAACACCCUACAGGAAAAUCAAGGCUUUGUGUUUUCCAUACCUCCUCCUGCAUCAGCCCUGACGUCAGUAGUUUGGAACCACGGAAGUUAAAUUAAGGCCAGUGCAGUCUAAUAGGCAAGGGAUGGCAAAUGCUAAGAAGUCAAGGUAAUGAGAAAAUACCUGCCAUCUGGAGCUGUCAUAAGCAUGAAUUUACAUCUCUCCCCACAAAAUAAAUAAAUAACAGCAUGCAAAACAUUACUCUCCCUGGAUGCAAAGUCCCACUCCUGCCACUGCCACCAAAAAUUUUGGCCUCCCCAUGUUCUGCGUGG